ACAAAUGAGGAGAUUCACAGCCCACCUGAAGCCCAGGAGAACACUCCGCCUGAGCAGGCAUGCCAGCGGAGGCCCCUGCUAAUUAUCAGGCCCCUCUUCAUGAGUGACAUCUGCCUCCUACCCCUCUAUUAGGACAUCACCAGCGGCUUGAAGAAAAAAAAAAGAAGGAGAAACCAAACAACAACAAGGGCUUCCACUAUGCUCUGUAAGCUCAACAUUGUGACUGUGAAGGCGGUAUCUGUUUUUUAUUUUACACUAUUAUUGAUGUAUUUUUAGUGCAAAAAUUCUGUUGUGGGUUUAUGGUGUGAUAACUAAGGUCUGAUGUUGGAUGCGGUCUGGUUUAUGAUAAGAGGCUUUAUAAUUAGCAAGAUCAAUGCAGAAAGUAAUUUAUUUAGGGUCAUAAGCUAAUUGGUGCCAAUUUAACCCUUUCUUAAUGAUAUAUGAAUUUCCCAAAUGUGCUUUCAGUUUGUUUGUAUAAUGUACUUGUUUUAAGACAAACAAAACCUUUUUAAAAUGUUCCUGUUUUCUUUAACUCUUAGUAAUAACAAAAUAUGAACUGAAAUCCAAGUUCAGCUGCAAUUAUUUCAGCAUGGUGCCUAAACAGGUGAUUAAUUCUCCAUUUUCUGGCCUCCUGAUGUGAGAAGUAAUACUGAUGUCGACUCUGGAUACUGUAGGCAUGGUGAUGGUUCGUCUGUCGAAUGGCUGCCCUUUGGUGACCUUGUCCAUCUGAGGCAUCAGUGGCUCAGUGGAGCGUUUCUUGGCCGUCUCAUGCUCUAUCAGUCCCAAUGACGGAACACAGCACCCGACUGGACCCACAUGGCCAUAAGGGGUGCUGAAGUCAACCCGAUCCGACAGCCUAGCUCACUUCUCUGAAAUAAGGUCAACACUGGGGUCAUUCAGCACCUAGAGUCACCCUGGGUAAUGCUGGAUAAACUCAUGACAUGAAGCCUCCCUGGAUGUCCUUUCGAUUGCCAUUGUACACAAGGACAGGUUCAGUAAAAAGGGAACAGGAGUCAUUCUGCCCUCAUCUCCUGCUGGAGACAGCCAUCAGACACAACAGGGUGAUGCUGCUUUCAGUUUCCAUGGAAAUCCAAGUUAGUAGACCACAUGCAACAAGGUUCAGUGGCUCAAAAAAAUCUCAAAUGAACUGAUGUAACAAUCUGCAUGCAAUUAAUUCUCACAGUGCUUUCAACUGUUUGCUUUGUAAAUGAAUGCCUAUUUCAGUUCAGCUCCCCCUAGUUUACUACAGUAUAUACUUUUCUAAAUGACUAUUCUUGGGGCAUGCAGCUGUGUUUUACAAUAUGUCACUGUACAGUUGCUAAGCUGAAUCUCGGUUGCAUACAGAUGUUAUUUUCAUUGCUAAUCAUUGCAACUGUUAUUUUUAACAGUGUUCAGCUGAUGAGCUGCAAUGUAGAUGCCAUAACUACACUUUAUAUAUCCACAGCCAAUUCAUAAAGAAGCCAUGCUUUCUUACAAUAUUUUGCCCAGUAAACAUAUAAACCAUAGUUUCUUUAUACUGUAGUAGGCGACUUAUAUUUGACGUCACCGCUCAUGACAGUUGCUGGUAAAGGGCUAGGGAUGAGACUGAGAUAGAUGUAAAUGUUAUACUGUAGAUUUCUCCAGGUUUUAUUAUAGACGUUGUUGUGCUCAGUGUAAACGGUUGUGCAAAUAUGUCAAACUCUGACCCCUAGUGGUGGAUUGUGAUAUAGGGGUUACUGUUUGAGAAGCCUAAUAUUAACACAAGAGGGAUGAUUCACUUUCACUGCUGUAGAAUGUUAUGUAAUUUUAAGCACUCGGAUUGAAUAGUGUGUGAUCAGUAACAUGACUGUAUGCUCUAAAAGACAAACCUUAUAUUGCUUUUGGUGACCAUUUGUGCUUUUUUAUUUUUUUAUUAUUUUAUUUUUUUCUUCACUUCAUGCAAUAUUUUUGCAUAGUGUGGUCAGAUCAAACCAGUAUUACAUUAAUUAUAAAAAAUAAAUAAAAAUUGAGAUUACA
ensembl:lncRNA